UUCCAGGAGCCUUUGGGAUUUGCCUUAGGGACCCUCUGCCUCUUCCGGGCCCAGUUUCUGGGUCUCAGGAAGCCGGAGUAGGCCAGCGGUCCCCACCCUCUCCUAUUGAAAGGCUUUUCCUGCUCUGUAUCUGCGAAACUCAUUUUGCCCAGGGAACUUGUGACCCUCAGAGACUUCGCUCUUUUUUGCUGCCUCUGAGAUCCGAAGUGUGCGUGUGUGUGUGUGUGUGUGUGUGUGUGUGUGUGUGUGUGUAUCUUAUUCCUCUAGUUGCACCUAGGGAGUCAAGAGCCUAAGGCUAUAGUUAGCUUGGGGUUCCCAUGGCCAGAAAAAUUAGGCAAGGGACCAGCUUUCCCCUCCAGCCUCAAAACUAUUGAAGCCACAAUCAAUUGCCGGAAUACGGGGUGCAGGACAGGAAGACCGUGGACAAGACGGAGGGGGGCUUAGCCUUCUCCUGCCUUCUUCCUCCGCACCCUCCACGCCCGUGCGAGACCCUUGCAACUCCUGACCCCGCCACCGUCGCGCGGUCUGCUCCCAUUCCCAGGAAGGGCAAGGGCACACAGGAGUUGCUCGAUCUGUACUUUUCAGUAUUCUGAGUCAAACUAAAUCCGGUAUGCUCUCUGGCUGAACUUUCUGUUUUGUUCUGUUUGAGACAGUGUCUUGCUAUGUAGCCCAGGCUGGCCUUGAACUCGUGGCAAUCCUCCUGCCUCAGCCUCCGGGUAGCGCUGGAGUGACAGGUGUGCACCACCAUGAACUUGGAGAUGAAGCCAAAAAAGAAGGAGAGCAUCAGAGCCGCCCGGAAGGGGUCUGCCCUGGCAUCUGACUGUCAGAGGGAAGGGGCCCGAGAAUCUGCACCCCCGGCAAGGUUCGCCCCACUGCUGAUCCUGAGAACCAUCGUUUCGGCAAAUUCUGUUCAUCACGAGGACCUGGUUGGUUCUCCGACCGUGCAUGGUUUGGGAGGAAGCCCGGGGAGACUUAGCUCCUGACUUCUCUCAGCCCUCGGCCCGGGAUGCGCGGGGCUCUCAGAAAGCGGCGGCCAGGGCAGCUAGGGUGGUCUCAGGCUGAUGCUCCGUGCUCCCCGUUUGCACACAGCCCCGUCAGCUCCAUGCUUCCUAAAAAUCACUCCCCAAAAGCAUGUUUUGCGGCAGUGGCGGCGGCGGCCACGGAGCACUAGGAAUUUCCUGUGGCGAGGAGGGAGGCGGCAGAGCCACCAGCCGUCCCCACUCGCUCGGCAGGGCCACGUGCCCCACCCCCUCGAGCACAUGUCUCCGCCGCACCGCCGCAGCCGGCUGUGUAUGAGCGAGUUGUUGUGGUAGAAAUGGAGCAGGCUGCACAUGCCCGGGCCAUGUGACCCGGGCGGCCCGCGUGAGUCCUGUCCUCCGGCGGCCGGGCGGGGCGGCAGGCGGGGCGAGCGAGAGGGCACCGGGCUCCCUCGGGCCCCCAGCCCUGGACCCUGCUGUCCCUCUGGUCCCUUCGGAGGCGGGCGAACAAACGGCAGCAGGGAGAUAGGAUCGUCCUAGGCACACUCCCCUCCCAGACAGCCCUCGGGGUUCACACAGCCCGGAGCCCCGGCCCCCCAAGAACAAAGGGGCUCCCCAAGCCGUAGAAUCCUCACCCCAGCCCGCCCUGGCCCAGAGCCCAGAUCCGGUUUCCCUGUGGGUCCCCACAUGUUGGGGAGCCUGUCCCCUCUUCCUAGGAAGGAAUGUGCCGCACACAGGCGGCUACUGCCCACCCCGGGAUCAGAACAAAGAGAAGCCGUGGGUGCGGGGGUCUGGCGCCAGGCGGCAGGGUCCUUCCUUCAGCAGCGGCCGGCGAGGUCGCCGCACAGGAAGGGGAAACGCUGCCUGCCAAGUGCCUGGAGUGCAGAGCGAAGGAGGGCGCACGUGACACCCCAACCCCGGACCCCACUUGCAGCCUCUGCCCUGGCCCUGCGGGUGACCCGGUUUCCGAGCCGCGGCGCCCCUCGCCGGCCGGGCCGGGCGCCGCGCCGCAGUCAGGCGGACAGUAGGUUACCAGGAGCAAGCACACCCCGAGUGCGCGCGACCCACAUUCGCUCAUCGCGCCGAAACUUCGCAGAUCCUGCAUUGCAGAGGGUGCAAACUGCGCAUUCUAAUGAGGCGAAGCUCCUUCCUGCGGCAUUGAAAAUCUCUCCGGCAAAUUGCUUCUCCCGCCCUCCCCCCCAUAAUUUAGAAAAGGGGCCAGGAUCACGAAUUUGCGAAGUUGCAUCCUUUCUCUCGCCCUCCCCUGCCUCCCUCCGCGGAGACCCCGCAGCCCUUGCAGCUGCAGACCCGGGCGGCGCGGUGGGGGGUGGGGAGGACCUCGAGGCCCUUCCUUCUCCUCGGGCAGGCUGAGCCCGCCGUGGGGCGGGGGCGCCUUCUUUCCCGGGCCGGGCAGCCCCCGGCACCCCCUCCCUCCUUGGCCUAGCCAGUGUUUACGUAAGCCUCCCAGAGCUGUAGGGCCCCAGAUGCUGCCCGGGCCGCAGCUCCUCCGCAGUGGGUCCGCCUCACGAGGCCCGUCAUGAGUCGCGGUCCUCUCCAGGCAGCUGCCGAGAGAGCUGCAGGAGCUCAAGGACCUGGUUUCAGGGGUAAGAAGUGGAGGCACAACAUUCCCCAGGCAUGUGUGCGCAUGCGUGCACACACGCACGCCCUCUGCCCUGCACCUCUGUCCAGAGAGACUCGAGGACACCAUGCAGGCAGGUGCAGAGCCUGGCAAGACGCCCGCACGGCACCCGUGGCUCUGGUAGAAACACAGCAAAGCUCGGCUGGGAGACUUUGGCCAUGCACGUGCUGGCCGCCACUGCUGCCCUAACCAUGAAGAAGAAGCCCGUGCCAGAAAAAAGGUCAUCCAGGACUCAGCCUCCCGUUGCCAAAGGCGGUGCAUGCCUCUCCGCGGACCCUGCCAUGUGGGUGGGGUCCCCCCUUGGGGUUAGUUCCCCAAGGCAUAUGGUGAUGAGGACAGUGGUGAACACCUGUAAGCAUGGCUACUUGGGAGGAUGAGGCAGGAGGAUCACAAGUUCAAGACCAACCGGGGCAAU